CCCUACGGGGCGCAGCAGUAGGGAAUUUUCGUCAAUGGGCGCAAGCCUGAACGAGCAAUGCCGCGUGAACGAGGAAGGUCUUCGGAUCGUAAAGUUCUGUUGAAGGGGAAAAAGAGCGGAGAGAGGAAAUGAACUCCGAUUGAUAUUACCCUUCGAGGAAGUCACGGCUAAAUACGUGCCAGCAGCCGCGGUAAUACGUAUGGGGCAAGCGUUAUCCGGAUUUACUGGGUGUAAAGGGAGCGCAGGCGGCUUGGCAAGUCUGAUGUGAAAGGCUGGGGCUCAACCCCAGGACUGCAUUGGAAACU
rnacentral:rRNA from 1 species